rnacentral:rRNA from 1 species
ACAUGCAGGUGAUCGCCGUUGAAAGACGGUUUCCUCUUCGGAGGCACCUGCACAGGUGCUGCAUGGCUGUCGUCAGCUCGUGUCGUGAGAUGUUGGGUUAAGUCCCCGCAACCGAGCGCAACCCUUAUCCCCAGUUGCCAUCAGGUAAAGCUGGGAACUCUGGGGAGACUGCCGGUGAUAAACCGGAGGAAGGCGGGGAUGACGUCAAGUCCUCAUGGCCCUUACAUCCCGGGCUACACACGUGCUACAAUGGCAGGUACAGAGGGCUGCGAAGCCGCGAGGUGGAGCGAAUCCCAGAAAACCUGUCUCAGUCCGGAUUGAAGUCUGCAACUCGACUUCAUGAAGGCGGAAUCGCUAGUAACCGCGAAUCAGCAGGUCGCGGUGAAUACGUUCCCGGGCCUUU